rnacentral:rRNA from 1 species
UACGUAGGCAGCGAGCGUUGUUCGGAGUUACUGGGCGUAAAGAGUGCGUAGGCGGUUUUCUAAGUUUGGUGUGAAAUCUCCCGGCUCAACUGGGAGGGUGCGCCGAAGACUGGAAGGCUCAGAGUGUGGGAGAGGUAAGCGGAAUUCCUGGUGUAGCGGUGAAAUGCGUAGAUAUCAGGAGGAACACCUGCGGUGUAGACGGCUUACUGGACCAUAACUGACGCUUAGGCACGAAAGCGUGGGUAGCAAACAGG